UACGUAGGGUGCAAGCGUUAAUCGGAAUUACUGGGCGUAAAGCGUGCGCAGGCGGUGAUGUAAGACAGAUGUGAAAUCCCCGGGCUCAACCUGGGAACUGCAUUUGUGACUGCAUCGCUGGAGUGCGGCAGAGGGGGAUGGAAUUCCGCGUGUAGCAGUGAAAUGCGUAGAGAUGCGGAGGAACACCGAUGGCGAAGGCAGCCCCCUGGGCUAAUACUGACGCUCAGGCACGAAAGCGUGGGGAGCAAACAGG
rnacentral:rRNA from 1 species